GACGAACGCUGGCGGCGUGCUUAACACAUGCGAGUCGAACGGAAAGGCCCUGCUUGCAGGGUACUCGAGUGGCGAACGGGUGAGUAACACGUGGGUGAUCUGCCCUGCACUUCGGGAUAAGCCUGGGAAACUGGGUCUAAUACCUGAUAGGAGCCAUUUUUAGUGUGAUGGUUGGAAAGUUUUUUCGGUGUAGGAUGAGCUCGCGGCCUAUCAGCUUGUUGGUGGGGUAAUGGCCUACCAAGGCGGCGACGGGUAGCCGGCCUGAGAGGGUGGACGGCCACAUUGGGACUGAGAUACGGCCCAGACUCCUACGGGAGGCAGCAGUGGGGAAUAUUGCACAAUGGGCGCAAGCCUGAUGCAGCGACGCCGCGUGGGGGAUGACGGCCUUCGGGUUGUAAACUCCUUUCGCUAGGGACGAAGCUUUUUGUGACGGUACCUAGAUAAGAAGCACCGGCUAACUACGUG
rnacentral:rRNA from 1 species